UUUCCGUAGGUGAACCUGCGGAAGGAUCAUUAUUGGAUUUUGAAACUUCAGGCUGCUGCUGGCUCUCCUCGGAGGGCAUGUGCACGCUUGUUGUCCAUUAUUUCUCCCACUGUGCACAAAUUGGAGACCUUUCAGUAGGCCUAUGUUGUUUUUCACAAUCUCUGAAUGUAAUAGAAUGGUUUUGAAUCUUGGGAAAUACAAUACAACUUUCAGCAACGGAUCUCUUGGCUCUC
rnacentral:misc_RNA from 1 species